AAGACCUGUAAUACUCUAAAAUACAUCACCUGAUUGCAACUCAGCUGCUUUGAUUAAGCUAAGAUCUU
rnacentral:tRNA from 1 species